rnacentral:rRNA from 1 species
CCCUAUGGGGCGCCAAUUCGAGAAGGGCUUUGACAACAUGGGGAUGCAUCCCCGCCCGUGGAGGGUCCGUGAUCACCACAUCGGGAAGCUCGUUCUCCCGUGCCGAUUCCAGCGCAUCUUUGAUCACAUCUUUUAAAUCACCCGACCGGAAAGUGCAAUUGUCAAUUCCGUUCAAGGUACAAUUCACCUGAGCAUCCCGAAUGGCCUCCUCGACGAUUUCAAAUCCCAAGACCCGCCGCACCUGAGAAGCGAUGAAAAGGGCGAUGCUUCCCGUGCCGCAGUAGAGGUCCCAGACGGUUUCGUGCCCCUUGAAAUCCCCCAACCGCCGCACGGCCUCAUAGAGCUUCUCGGCCGCCAGGGUAUUGGUUUGGAAAAAGGAAUUGGCGGGAGGGC